ensembl:lncRNA novel transcript
GGGGAGCUCGGCGUCCCGCGUCCUCCGCGGCUCAGGACGACUACGCUCGGCACGUCCGGGACCCUCCGGCCGUGGCGGUUGCAGCGCCAAAAGCUCGGGCCUCAGCCCCUGACGCUGUGGUGACUCCGCCGCGCCUCGCCGUCGCCCCUGUCCCCGUCCUGCCCGCCGCCUCCGCCGCUGGGGACAUGUCCAACCCCGGAAGCCGGAGGAACGGGCCCGUCAAGCUGCACCUGACAGGUAUAUUGAAAAGUCUGAUUCAGUUACAAUCAGUGUAUGGAAUCACAAGAAGAUCCAUAAGAAACAAGGUGCUGGAUUUCUCCGUUGUGUUCAUCUUUUUCCAGUGCCAUCAACCACCUCAAAGACACUGGUUAUCAGAGGUUGGAUUUAUGCAAACCUGGGCCAAAGGACAGUUAGAAGACGACGGAGUUUCACUCUUGUCGCCCAGGCUGGAGUGCAGUGGCGUGAUCUUGGCUCACUGCAACCUCCGUCUCCCUGGUUUAAGCGAUUCUCCAGCCUCAGCCUCUGGAAUAGCUGGGAUUACAGUGCUGAUGGGCCCGUGCAACAGUUGCUGGUAAAUGGCUGAUUAAAAAGCACAGAAAGCCGAACAAGACCCAACCAAAUUUGGUAAUUCAUCCGAUUCAAAAUUGUUUUGGUUAAAUCAAAAAUACAAGUACACGACCGCA